ensembl:lncRNA
UCUGGCUGUAGGAGAGUUGACACGACACCGACCGCAGUAAUGGAAGCCAAUUGGAAUUUACUCUGAUCACGUUAGAAGAAAGAAUGGAAUUUAUAAAAGAGAAACCCAACAGUCUGGGCAUCUCAUUCUAGGCCAUGAAAACAAACACAUUCCUCAGCUUAAUCCUGCUGCCAGCCCAUCUGUCUCAGCCCCUCAUGUAAGAAAUGAUAUACAGUCUUCAAGUCCCUGCUCAGAGCUGUGGGGAAGCAUUCAUUAAUUCUCAAAAGGCAUGAAGGUGCUUGCUGCCCACCUUCCAUGGUGGAGCAAUUCUGGAAGCCAGGAAUCAUACUUGGGAUGGAAAACUGCUCCGAAGAAGGGCUUCUGCGUCAAGUAAAGAAGACUGCUGGUUCCAGCAGCAAUCUUGCCUGUGAGAAGAGAGAGAAAUGGGCUCCAAAUGUUCAUGUAAGAAGCAUGCCCGGUGAAGGCAUCCAAUUGGUAACAGCACAAAUGAAUAACAUUGAAAAUCACAGACUGCCUUCCAGCAGAACCUCCGGAGCUUGGAAGAUCAUCAAGGCCAUUGGGGAUGGAAUGACCUGAGCAGAAGCCACAAAAGAAGAGCUUUCUGGUAAUGUUCCAGGAACAGAAACAAGAGUUUCAGAAGUUUGUGAAAAUGGAGGGAAAUAAAAUCUUCACUAAACUUUCAGAC